UCACCCGGGACGCGGCGGACGGCUCAGGACAACGGUUGCACCCCCCGCGGCGGUCCCUGCUAGCCGGACACCGCUGGCAACCCGGCGCCAAGACGUGCGCGCAAGGGCGGGCGCCCGCGGGCGAGCAGCGUGACGCAGCGACGGCCCGCCCGGGCUUCCGGGGCAUCAUCGG
rnacentral:rRNA from 1 species